rnacentral:rRNA from 1 species
GAUGAACGCUGGCGGCGUGCCUAAUACAUGCAAAUCGAGCGAACGGACGAGAAGCUUGCUUCUCUGAUGUUAGCGGCGGACGGGUGAGUAACACGUGGAUAACCUACCUAUAAGACUGGGAUAACUUCGGGAAACCGGAGCUAAUACCGGAUAAUAUUUUGAACCGCAUGGUUCAAAAGUGAAAGACGGUCUUGCUGUCACUUAUAGAUGGAUCCGCGCUGCAUUAGCUAGUUGGUAAGGUAACGGCUUACCAAGGCAACGAUGCAUAGCCGACCUGAGAGGGUGAUCGGCCACACUGGAACUGAGACACGGUACAGACUCCUACGGGAGGCAGCAGUAGGGAAUCUUCCGCAAUGGGCGAAAGCCUGACGGAGCAACGCCGCGUGAGUGAUGAAGGUCUUCGGAUCGUAAAACUCUGUUAUUAGGGAAGAACAUAUGUGUAAGUAACUGUGCACAUCUUGACGGUACCUAAUCAGAAAGCCACGGCUAACUACGUG